rnacentral:rRNA from 1 species
GAUGAACGCUAGCGGCAGGCCUAAUACAUGCAAGUCGAACGGUAGAUCGGGUAGCAAUACUUGAUUGAGAGUGACGUAAGGGUGCGUAACACGUAUGCAAUCUACCCUCAACAGGAGUAUAGCUCGGGGAAACUCGGAUUAACACUCCAUAACAUUACGAUGUGGCAUCACAUUGUGAUUAAAACUCCGGUGGUUGAGGAUGAGCAUGCGUCUGAUUAGUUAGUUGGAGGUGUAACGGACCCCCAAGACGAUGAUCAGUAGGGGAACUGAGGGGUUGAUCCCCCACACUGGCACUGAGAUACGGGCCAGACUCCUACGGGAGGCAGCAGUAGGGAAUAUUGGUCAAUGGGUGAGAGCCUGAACCAGCCAUGCCGCGUGCAGGAAGACGGCCUUCUGGGUUGUAAACUGCUUUUAUCUGGGGAUAAAAAGCCCAUGCGUGGGACAUUGAAGGUACCAGAUGAAUAAGCACCGGCUAACUACGUG